rnacentral:rRNA from 1 species
UACGAAGGGGCUAGCGUUGUUCGGAAUUACUGGGCGUAAAGCGCGCGCAGGCGGUUCUACAAGUCAGUGGUGAAAGCCCGGAGCUCAACUCCGGAACUGCCAUUGAAACUGCAGAACUUGAGGAUGAGAGAGGUGAGUGGAAUUCCCAGUGUAGAGGUGAAAUUCGUAGAUAUUGGGAAGAACACCGGUGGCGAAGGCGGCUCACUGGCUCAUUUCUGACGCUCAGGCGCGACAGCGUGGGGAUCAAACAGG